rnacentral:lncRNA from 1 species
UCUGUUUUCUUCCUUACGAACAUCACAUUUUACGUUCGUCAGGGCCAGAGUCUUUGUGGCAAUCUUUCAUAUUCAGCACGCAAUGAACCCUUCAUGGACACCAGCUGCAUUAGCCUGGCUUGUCGUCCUUGCGGCAGCCUGGGCAAAUGGCCCAACGCGAUUUAAGUAUGCUGCUGCUUGCGGCCAAGAAACAAGCAUUCCAAAACUGUCAUAUCAUCCCCUGGUUUCGUUGUAUUUGGUUUGCAUACAAGUCGACGCGGAUACUACCUGCUGUGACCGCCGUAUCAGAAGACACUUUUCCUGUACGGGCGGAACCAACAACAGCGAAGUUCAAAAAACCCGACUAGUAGCUAAAACUCAGCAUUCAUAGAGUUAAACGUCCCCGUCCGUGACUUGUACAUAACAAUCCAAGCAUCUCCUAAGCGUCUUUCUCCCCCUUCGUAAGGCCAUCGCGUCCACCAACGCACGUCUUACAUCCGUUGAAGCUGCGAUGAGUAAUAUGAACGCUGAAGUAAUUCAUGAACAUCCGCUGCGUUUGCCUAGCAGUGUCGUAAAGGAGGUCGCGUCGGCAUCAGGCCAUCAACGUUGCGCCCAGGACAACACUUGCUGCAGCCAAGAAACAGAAAGUAUAUCUCUAUUCGUUCAUCCCCUUGGUCUUAGGGUUGCCCCUAAGACGACGUAGAUACCACCUCCUGACACCGCCGUACCGGAAAGCACUUUUCCGGUACGGGCAGAGCCAGCAGCAUUCCAGGUUCAGAAUUGAACCCAAAGGCAGAAAUCACCAUUCUGAGAGUUGAACGUCGCCAUCCAUGAUUUAGACAUACCAUUCCAUGGCCUGUGCAUGCGCGUCCGUGUCCUUCACUACGUUGCCAUCACGUCCACCAACGCACACUUGACAUCCGUCCUGUCCAGAGCCGUCGUCGCGAGCUUCGACAACAUGAAUGUAAGCAACAUUCGGAACAUCCGUCCUGUUUGCAUGGGAUUGUUGUCCUCCCGCCGGCGGAGGGCCACUCAACGUAUUGCUUAAGAAUUCCUACCCAAGCCUAUAACACAAACAUAAUAACAUUGUCCUAGCAUUCCAUAGCCCUACUUGACUUGCCUACAAGUCCACAGCAACGAGUUGCCCCGGUCGGACCCUCCAAGUCUAGCCCAGUAGCUUACUGUGGGCUGACGUUAGUGAACAUGGAAUGCAAGCUGUGUGUGUGCUCAUCCCCUUUGAAAAAGGUUCGACUACGACUUGACACACAGACUCCCUCCUGCAACAAAUGCCCAUUUUCUGUACGAGCGUGACGAGCAACAUAAGAGAUCCAGAACCGACCACACCGGCAGAAUUCAUCGUUCAGUUCCUUAAACCUUCAUUUACGGUUUCCCUACAAACAGCUCCAUGCCUUGGAUAUGCGUCUGUUUUCUUCCUUACGAACAUCACAUUUUACGUUCGUCAGGGCAGAGUCUUUGUAGCAAUCUUUCAUAUUCAGCACGCAAUGAACCCUUCAUGGACACCAGCUGCAUUAGCCUGGCUUGUCGUCCUUGCGGCAGCCUGGGCAAAUGGCCCAACGCGAUUUAAGUAUGCUGCUGCUUGCGGCCAAGAAACAAGCAUUCCAAAACUGUCAUAUCAUCCCCUGGUUUCGUUGUAUUUGGUUUGCAUACAAGUCGACGCGGAUACUACCUGCUGUGACCGCCGUAUCAGAAGACACUUUUCCUGUACGGGCGGAACCAACAACAGCGAAGUUCAAAAAACCCGACUAGUAGCUAAAACUCAGCAUUCAUAGAGUUAAACGUCCCCGUCUGUGACUUGUACAUAACAAUCCAAGCAUCUCCUAAGCGUCUUUCUCCCCCUUCGUAAGGCCAUCGCGUCCACCAACGCACGUCUUACAUCCGCCCAGUACAGUGCCGUUGAAGCUGUGACGAGUAAUAUGAACGCUUAAGUAAUUCAUGAACAUCCGCUGCGUUUGCCUAGCAUUGUCGUAAAGGAGGUCGCGUCGGCAUCAGGCCAUCAACGUUGCGCCCAGGACAACACUUGCUGCAGCCAAGAAACAGAAAGUAUAUCUCUAUUCGUUCAUCCCCUUGGUCUUAGGGUUGCCCCUAAGACGACGUAGAUACCACCUCCUGACACCGCCGUACCGGAAAGCACUUUUCCGGUACGGGCAGAGCCAGCAGCAUUCCAGGUUCAGAAUUGAACCCAAAGGCAGAAAUCACCAUUCUGAGAGUUGAACGUCGCCAUCCAUGAUUUAGACAUACCAUUCCAUGGCCUGUGCAUGCGCGUCCGUGUCCUUCACUACAUUGCUGCUUGCGGCCAAGAAACAAGUGAUGCAAAACGUUGCCUCAUGUCCAUCCGUCCGGUCCACACACGUAAGAGCAAUUUUCCAUAACACGGAUGUAAGCACCGUUCGGGAUGUCCGUCGUGUUUGCCUCAGGAAGUCGUCCUCCCGGCGGCGGAUCGGACCCUAAGCACCGGCCGGUACCAGCUGGUACCAGCUCCUGGAGCCGCUUAAUCGAUGCUGAUCGUGAUGUGUAAUUGGUCCAGCAUAAAGCACAUUCUUCAUCAUCCGGAAGGGAUCCCUUAGCCGUAGUACAUGUAAAGGAUGCGCAGGACAAGCAGUGUAAGAGGUACUCGGAAAAGAACGCAAAAAAGACUGUUCCGUCAAAAUAGCUAACAAGCUGUACCUUAGCGGAUUGCAGGGCGCUUCUAACAUACAUGCCACCCUUUGGAAGUCAUGUUGUAGGCUUGUCCUGUUUGGUUUAUGUUGGCAUUGCAUUAAGAAGUUCAACGUGAUACCUGCAGGUUAACUGUUUACUGAUAAUUACUUAUUCGGCGGCGUGCGCAUAUUAUUCCCUUACUUCGCCGGCAGGUCCAUGGAAAGUCCCCGAAAAGAUUACAUAACGUUGCAAAACUCCUUUCAGUGCUUUCGGAAAAGAGGUCCUAGAUCUUGAGACCCUGGUAAGCCAGAAAUCGCUGACGGCUAGCGCUGUAAGCGUACCUUUUCCAUCUCCUGUAUUUUCAAAGCAUACACACGCGCGAUACUUAAGAAUACGAAAAUUUUAAACAGUUUAACAGUUCAUGUGGAAGCGUUUGCGGUGCAACUGGCGCGAACAGGACACCAGAGGUCACAGGAAUUACAGCUCUUAUGACUACUAGCAGUAUGUGUGCGUGGUUGUUACAGCAGUAGAUCUUAGGGACGAGGGGUACCUGACGGCAAUGCAUGGGCUCCAUCGAUGCAUGUGCCUCGGCAUGAAGGGUGAAUACAAUACGUUUCAUAUGCACAGACCUCAUAGU